GACUGUAGGGUAGGCUGUAAGGUAAGACUGUAGGGUAGGCGGUAAGGUAAGACUGUAGGGUAGGCGGUAAGGUAAGACUGUAGGGUAGGCGGUAAGGUAAGACUGUAGGGUAGGCGAUAAGGUAAGACUGUAGGGUAGGCUGUAAGGUAAGACUGUAGGUAGGCUGUAAGGUAAGACUGUAGGGUAGGCGGUAAGGUAAGACUGUAGGGUAGGCUGUAAGGUAAGACUGUAGGGUAGGCGGUAAGGUAAGACUGUAGGGCAGGCGGUAAGGUAAGACUGUAGGGUAGGCUGUAAGGUAAGACUGUAGGGUAGGCUGUAAGGUAAGACUGUAGGGUAGGCUGUAAGGUAAGACUGUAGGGUAGGCUGUAAGGUAAGACUGUAGGGUAGGCUGUAAGGUAAGACUGUAGGGUAGGCUGUAAGGUAAGACUGUAGGGUAGGCUGUAAGGUAAGACUGUAGGGUAGGCUGUAAGGUAAGACUGUAGGGUAGGCUGUAAGGUAAGGUUGUAGGGUAGGCUGUAAGGUAAGGUUGUAGGGUAGGCUGUAAGGUAAGGUUGUAGGGUAGGCUGUAAGAUGCAUGAGCUGAAGCAUCCCCACACUCAGGGGUCAGAGGCAGGGGGAUCUUUGUGAGUUCAAGACCAGCCUGAUCUACAGAUUGAGUUCCAGAACAGCCAGAGCUACACAGAGAAAACAGAACAGAGGGAGAGGGAGAGAGCGCAGGGAAGGACGGAAAGAAGGAAGGAAGGAGAGUGAGCUGAAAGAUUCCAAGCCAUUGAGCUUGGGGCUGGGCCUCGGGCUCAGUGCUGGGCCGCUUGCCUCGCCCACUAAGCUGUAGAUUCAGUUAC